ACGGUGACGUGGGGCGGGAUCCCUGAAAACCGGGUCUCAGUUCGGAUCGCAGUCUGCAACUCGACUGCGUGAAGGUGGAGUCGCUAGUAAUCGCGGAUCAGCAACGCCGCGGUGAAUGCGUUCCCGGGCCUUGUACACACCGCCCGUCAAGUCAUGAAAGUGGGCAGCACCCGAAGACGGUGGCCUAACCCUUGUGGGGGGAGCCGUCUAAGGUGAGGCUCGUGAUUGGGACUAAGUCGUAACAAGGUAGC
rnacentral:rRNA from 1 species